rnacentral:rRNA from 1 species
GAUGAACGCUGGCGGCGUGCCUAAUACAUGCAAGUCGAGCGAACGGACGAGAAGCUUGCUUUUCUGAUGUUAGCGGCGGACGGGUGAGUAACACGUGGAUAACCUACCUAUAAGACUGGGAUAACUUCGGGAAACCGGAGCUAAUACCGGAUAAUAUUUUGAACCGCAUGGUUCAAAAGUGAAAGACGGUCUUGCUGUCACUUAUAGAUGGAUCCGCGCUGCAUUAGCUAGUUGGUAAGGUAACGGCUUACCAAGGCAACGAUGCAUAGCCGACCUGAGAGGGUGAUCGGCCACACUGGAACUGAGACACGGUCCAGACUCCUACGGGAGGCAGCAGUAGGGAAUCUUCCGCAAUGGGCGAGAGCCUGACGGAGCAGCGCCGCGUGAGUGAUGAAGAUCUUCGGAUCGUAAAACUCUGUUAUUAGGGAAGAACAUAUGUGUAAGUAACUGUGCACAGCUUGACGGUACCUAAUCAGAAAGCCACGGCUAACUACGUG